GAGGUCCAGCCUGCCCAGUGACUAAGUUCAACGGCCGCGGUAUCCUAACCGUGCGAAGGUAGCGUAAUCACUUGUUCUUUAAAUGAGGACUAGUAUGAAUGGCAUCACGAGGGUUGUACUGUCUCCUUUUUCUAAUCAAUGAAACUGAUCUCCCCGUGAAGAAGCGGGGAUAAAGAUAUAAGACGAGAAGACCCUAUGGAGCUUCAAACCAAAUAGCACUGACUUUUUUACAAUGAAGUUUCAGAACAAAAACAAAUAUCUUAGUCAGAUGUCUAUUAGUUUUAGGUUGGGGUGACCGCGGAGAAAAAAUUAUCCUCCACAUUGAACGGAAUUAUUCCUGAGCAAAAAGCUACAACUUUAAGCACCAAUAAAUUGACAUUAAUUGACCCAAUAUUUUGAUCAACGAACCAAGUUACCCUAGGGAUAACAGCGCAAUCUACCUCAAGAGCCCCUAUCGACAGGUAGGUUUACGACCUCGAUGUUGGAUCAGGGCAUCCUAGUGGUGCAGCCGCUACUAAAGGUUCGUUUGUUCAACGAUUAAAGCCCU
rnacentral:rRNA from 1 species